CCUACGGGUGGCAGCAGUGAGGAAUAUUGGUCAAUGGGCGCGAGCCUGAACCAGCGAAGUAGCGUGAAGGAUGACUGCCCUACGGGUGGUAAACUUCUGUUAUAAAGGAAUAAAGUGAGGCACGGGUGCCGUUUUGUAUGUACUUUAUGAAUAAGGAUCGGCUAACUCCGUGCCAGCAGCCGCGGUAAUACGGAGGAUCCGAGCGUUAUCCGGAUUUAUUGGGUUUAAAGGGAGCGUAGAUGGGUUGUUAAGUCAGUUGUGUAAGUUUGCGGCUCCACCGUAAAAUUGCAAUUGAUACUGGCAGCCUUGAGUACAGUUGAGGUAGGCGGCCUUCGUGGUGUAGCGG
rnacentral:rRNA from 1 species